UCCGACCCGUUUUCAUGCAAGGGUUUGCUCGGCGUUGGCUCCCCUUCCCCUCUGCUCCCAUGGCCGUCAGAAGAGCAGCAGCUGCGGCUUCCACUUCCCUCAUCUCUUCUUCCCCCAGAUCCAACCUUUUCUCAACUGCUCUUCUCACAAGCCUCCUCCCUCACAUCUCUCCCCAAACCCCUUCUCCAACCUCUCCUCUUCCACGUCCUUUCCGCAUCCCCUUGCCCCCAAAAUGCCCCCUUUUCCGCCGCAUCCAAACCCUUCCCCAAAUCCCACCACCUCCUCAUCCUACUCCUACCCUUCAAUCCGCCGCCACUUCCGCAGAAGUCAUCGCCGUCAUCGAGGCGAUGGAGUCCUCCCUCGACGAGCACGACGAGAGGCUCGGCGCUGCCUGCUUCGAGGCGGCCGAGCGGCUGGAUUCCAUAGGGCACCAGGACCUCGACAGAGCCCUCGCCUUUGCCUUCCGAGCGCUGCAAUUCUUCGAGAGGAAGGACGGCGGGUGGUCGGUCUCGGUCGCCAAAGUCCUGCGAUUGAUGGGCUCCAUCAGCUGCAAGAUGAUGAGGUUCAACGAUAGCCUGGAGUCGUUAAACACCGCAGCUCAGAUUCUCGAUGCACUAAGGCGAGAAAAUUCCAGGGACGAUGAUGCUCUUAAAGCUAGCGUCGCUGUUCAGCUCCAGCUCUCGAGUACAAAGACUGCUAUGGGCCGAAGGCGGGAGGCUUUGAUCAAUCUACGGAAGUCUUUGGACCUUAAACGGUCGAUUUUGGAGCAUACUUCUAGGGAAAUGGGUGCCGCCUAUAAGGAUUUGGCGGAGGCUUAUGUUGUCGUUUUGGAUUUUGAUGAGGCUUUGCCGUUGGCUUUGAGGGCACUUGAGAUAUAUGGUGAACAAUUUGGGGAGUACUCAGCAGAAGUCGUCCAGAUUAGGCGGCUUCUUGGUGUUAUUUAUACUGGGUUGGGAGAGAAUGAUGAGGCAUUGGAGCAGAAUGAGCUUUCAAGAAGGGUCUUGGAAAGUUUAAGCUUGGAUGAAGAAUUGCUUCAGGUGGGAAUUGAUGCGGCUAACAUACUGAUCGAACUAGGUAGGCUGGAUCAAGCGAUCAGCUACCUGAAGUGGGUGAUUCAAAAGACUGACAAGGAAUGUGAGACAAGAGCAUCAGUGCUCAUCUCGAUGGCUCAGGCCUUGUGUAAUCAGGAGAAGUUUGGUGAUUCUAGAAGGUGCUUGGAAAUUGCUAGUGGUAUUCUUGACAAGAAGGAGUUAGUGUCUCCCACAAAGGUUUCUGAAGCUUAUGCAGAGAUAUCUUUGAUAUAUGAGACAAUGAAUGACUUUGAGAUUGCUUUGUCUUUGAUGAAGAAGGCUCUUGCUAUUCUUCAGGAACUUCCACAGGUACAGCAUCUGGAGGGAAGCAUCUCGAUGAGAAUUGGAUGGUUGCUUCUCUUGACAAAGAGGGUUCCCCAAUCCAUUCCCUACUUGGAAAGUGCAGCUGAGAAGCUAAAAGACUGCUUUGGUCCAAAACAUUUUGGGUUGGGAUUUGUGUAUAAGCAUUUGGGACAAGCAUAUUUGGACAUGGAUCACCCACAGUCUGCUGCUAAGGUGCUAGUUCUUGCAAAGGACAUCAUUGAUGAGUCUUUUGGGCUACAGCAUGAGGACGCAAUUGAUACGUGCCAGUGCCUUGCCAAUGCUUAUGGUGCCAUGGGAAGUUAUGCUCUUGCAAUGGAGGUCCAACAAUGCGUAAUAGAUGCAUGGGAAAACCAUGGGCCCAGUGCCAAGGAUGAAACUAGAGAAGCUCACCGCCUUUUAGAGCAGUUAAAGAAAAAGGCCCGAGGGUCACCUGCUGCAGUAUUUCCUGCAAACAGUCUGCCAUUGCUUCCACAAAAUUAAUGUUGACUCCACCAAACUCAUGCAAUCUUGUCAGUCUACAUCAUCGAGGCUCAUCUUCAAAACCAACAUUCAAGUUCAAUGAUUGCAGUUUCUCCUUCAAGCACAGGAAAGUGCCGUGAAACUCUGUUGUUCCUUGGUAUCCUAAAUUCACCAGAAUUAUCAAUACAAGGACUCAAAAAAUGAGUAGGGAUCAUUUCAAGUACACUUGGUAUGACUUGUUUGUAACACAAAAUUCAUGGUUGAGCAGAAGUGUGAUUUAUCUCAUUGUUUACUAUAUCCAUUUAGUUAAAAACUAGGCCAUGAGUUGGUAGCACUGAAUCAAACCAUCCCCCUCUGUCUCACAGUUAGUAUCAGUACUAUCUUUGGACUUUUCCCCAUGUUGAUUUCAUUCUUUGCUCGAUUGGAUUCCCAUACCUAACACUAAUCAUAAUUUUACAGGUUAGAGAACAAGAUUACUAGGAGGAGAAACAAUUAUUGUCGUUCCUUGCAGCCAUAAAUGAAGGUUCCGUUUGGUUAGUAGUUCUGUUAUUUUCUAGAUUCAGAGUUCUUUUGUGGCAGUUUGAGAUUUGCACACCGGGAAGAGGCACCUAACUUUUUGAGGGGCAAACCCGGUUUUAGACUCAUUGCUACAGCUCAAAUACUAAGAUGGAGGAACUAGAAAGAUGCAAUGGGUUGUUGAAAUAAUAAAAUUGGCUCAUGCAUAGAAAAUGUGAGAAAAAUGCUGUUGUAGGAGCAGCAAUGUGCACAUGAUGCAGCAGCGAGUUGCUUCCUCUCUCAUCUGCCUUGAAUCGGAUACAGUGAGAAUUCCUUGUGUCUGGAACAAAUCACGACUUCCGUAUGCUUGCUCAGUUGUUUGCUUGCAGCUUCUGGUUGUCACUGUUGUUCCCAAGGACCCACUGUUCCAGUUUCUUCUGCAUCUCACUCUGAAAUCAAAGCCGAUCUAAUCUUUAUUUAAAACUAAAUUGCUUUUCGUUAUGGCUUAGUGGACUGUAAUCUAGAUCUUGCUCCUGGUGCUGUUCCAGAGGUAACUGGCUUCCCUAUCUGCUGCAUCUUUAUAAUACUUUUAUAAAUGGCUUCUCCUUUAAAUUGGUUGCUGAAUAGAUUAUAACUUUGAAAGGCAUCCGAUUUGAACCAUGUUUGACCAAGAAUUUAGUGGUUGCUACCAAUGAUAGAAACUUUCUGGGCAUCUUGGUCCAAGGAAAGAAACAAAUGAGUGUUCCACUUCAACAUUGCAGAGUUUACUCUCUCCGUCUUCUUUUUGAUAACUUAGCAGUUUCAUUGGAGGAUGAAUCUUGGUGUCACAAUCAAAUUGUUCUUUUACAAUCAAAGUGUGUACAAUUAUCCUUUCCGAUGUUAUACUGGCAGGAGUUUUGUAUACUGAAUCAUCUAUUUUAAAUACUUGCGGUUGAUAGAAAUAUAUCGGGAAAUUUCAAUGA